rnacentral:rRNA from 1 species
UACGUAGGGGGCAAGCGUUGUUCGGAAUUACUGGGCGUAAAGGGCGCGUAGGCGGCCACCGCAAGUCGGUUGUGAAAUCUCUGGGCUUAACCCAGAAAGGUCAACCGAUACUGCGGGGCUAGAGUGCAGAAGGGGCAACUGGAAUUCUCGGUGUAGCGGUGAAAUGCGUAGAUAUCGAGAGGAACACCUGCGGCGAAGGCGGGUUGCUGGGCUGACACUGACGCUGAAGCGCGAAAGCUAGGGGAGCGAACGGG